rnacentral:rRNA from 1 species
CGAACGAUGAUGCCCAGCUUGCUGGGCGGAUUAGUGGCGAACGGGUGAGUAAUACGUGAGUAACCUGCCCUUGACUCUGGGAUAAGCCUGGGAAACUGGGUCUAAUACUGGAUACUACCUCUUGCCGCAUGGUGGGUGGUGGAAAGGGUUUUACUGGUUUUGGAUGGGCUCACGGCCUAUCAGCUUGUUGGUGGGGUAAUGGCUCACCAAGGCGACGACGGGUAGCCGGCCUGAGAGGGUGACCGGCCACACUGGGACUGAGACACGGCCCAGACUCCUACGGGAGGCAGCAGUGGGGAAUAUUGCACAAUGGGCGGAAGCCUGAUGCAGCGACGCCGCGUGAGGGAUGACGGCCUUCGGGUUGUAAACCUCUUUCAGUAGGGAAGAAGCGAGAGUGACGGUACCUGCAGAAGAAGCGCCGGCUAACUACGUGCCAGCAGCCGCGGUAAUACGUAGGGCGCAAGCGUUGUCCGGAAUUAUUGGGCGUAAAGAGCUCGUAGGCGGUUUGUCGCGUCUGCUGUGAAAGCCCGGGGCUCAACCCCGGGUCUGCAGUGGGUACGGGCAGACUAGAGUGCAGUAGGGGAGACUGGAAUUCCUGGUGUAGCGGUGAAAUGCGCAGAUAUCAGGAGGAACACCGAUGGCGAAGGCAGGUCUCUGGGCUGUUACUGACGCUGAGGAGCGAAAGCAUGGGGAGCGAACAGGAUUAGAUACCCUGGUAGUCCAUGCCGUAAACGUUGGGCACUAGGUGUGGGGGACAUUCCACGUUUUCCGCGCCGUAGCUAACGCAUUAAGUGCCCCGCCUGGGGAGUACGGCCGCAAGGCUAAAACUCAAAGGAAUUGACGGGGGCCCGCACAAGCGGCGGAGCAUGCGGAUUAAUUCGAUGCAACGCGAAGAACCUUACCAAGGCUUGACAUUCACCGGACCGCCCCAGAGAUGGGGUUUCCCUUCGGGGCUGGUGGACAGGUGGUGCAUGGUUGUCGUCAGCUCGUGUCGUGAGAUGUUGGGUUAAGUCCCGCAACGAGCGCAACCCUCGUUCUAUGUUGCCAGCACGUGAUGGUGGGGACUCAUAGGAGACUGCCGGGGUCAACUCGGAGGAAGGUGGGGAUGACGUCAAAUCAUCAUGCCCCUUAUGUCUUGGGCUUCACGCAUGCUACAAUGGCCGGUACAAAGGGUUGCGAUACUGUGAGGUGGAGCUAAUCCCAAAAAGCCGGUCUCAGUUCGGAUUGAGGUCUGCAACUCGACCUCAUGAAGUCGGAGUCGCUAGUAAUCGCAGAUCAGCAACGCUGCGGUGAAUACGUUCCCGGGCCUUGUACACACCGCCCGUCAAGUCACGA